rnacentral:tRNA from 1 species
GUUAAUGUAGCUUAAAUUAUAUAAAGCAAGGCACUGAAAAUGCCUAGAUGAGUUCCUCACUCCAUAAACA